UUUUACGGACGUUCAUCCCCUUACUUCUUUCUAUCUCUUCUCUCCACCCUACAAAUCUCCUCCUUCCUACAAUCCCCCCAUCGUAAAACCACCUCCUCUCAUCCCAAAACCACCUUCCUUCUACACCUAAAAAACACAACCUACCAUCAAACCCCCUUCCCCUUAACGUCCAAUCCCCAUGACUAAACUCCAACCACCGUCGCCGUCUCGCCGUCUCGCCUUCCCUUGUAUACCCUUUUCACUUUUCUCUCAACUCAUAUUUCACUAGUUUUUCAACUCCGAAAACUAGGGCUUCUCGGCAGAUUUCCUUUUUUUGGGUAAGGAUUCACCCCUCUUCUUUCUCAAAAUAGGUGUUUAUGCUUGAAGCUCUUUAUCUAUCAGGUUUUAUUUGAGAAAAGAAAAGAAGGAGAUUGGGAGAAAGGGGGUAGCUGAUGCAAGAGACAAACAUUAGAGGGAGAAAGUUUUUCUUGCAAACAAGAGAGGAGAGAAGUGCUGCCGACGGAGAGGAAGACGUCGGAUUUUUGACGUAAGCGAUGACUGGCUUUUUCGAACAACGUUUGACGACAUCCAAUGUUGGUCGUGGGUUUGAGGCGGGUUUCAUGGUGAGUUUCGUCGUGGGUGUUCUAUUUUUCAGUCGUGGUUCUUCUUGGGGUUUGUAGUGGGUUGUUCGACAUAUGAGUCUUCGGUCAGAGGAGCUGACAAGAAGAAAAUCCGUUGAUUUGCGCCAAAUGUAUAAAGACUUUUGAAGAGUUUAAGGUGACGAAGCUGGAAGCUAGCUUCAAUCGUUUCUACCUGAAUGUUUGAAUGUCUGAACUCGUACGAUUUGAAAAAGAUAUGAAAUGGCUGCAGAAAUUAUGUGGAGCUUUGAUUGUGAUAGAUGUUAAUUGUGUAUUGGGACUUUUAUUUAAUUAUAGGGUAUUUGGAGUUUAUUGAACAAUUGUAUUUAGGAUUCAACUUUGUCAUUUAUUUAGGGGCAUUUAAGAUGUUGCUCCUGCAAUUUUCUUUUAAGAUUUUCCUGUUUAGCUAUUUUGUUAAUUUAAAAAUAGAUUUGUCAUUUACAGUGAACCUCUUAUUUUACCA